rnacentral:rRNA from 1 species
GACGUAGGGCGCGAGCGUGUCCGGAUUUGAUUGGGCGUAAAGAGCUCGUAGGCGGCUUGUCGCGUCGUGUGUGAAAUCUCAGGGCUCAACUCUGACAUUGCAUACGAUACGGGCAGGCUUGAGUUCGGUAGGGGAGACUGGAAUUCCUGGUGUAGCGGUGAAAUGCGCAGAUAUCAGGAGGAACACCGGUGGCGAAGGCAGGUCUCUGGGCAUUAACUGACGCUGAGGAGCGAAAGCAUGGGGAGCGAACAGG